UACGGGAGGCAGCAGUGGGGAAUAUUGCACAAUGGGCGCAAGCCUGAUGCAGCCAUGCCGCGUGUAUGAAGAAGGCCUUCGGGUUGUAAAGUACUUUCAGUCGUGAGGAAGGUGUUAAGGUUAAUAACCUUAGCAAUUGACGUUAGCGACAGAAGAAGCACCGGCUAACUCCGUGCCAGCAGCCGCGGUAAUCGGAGGGUGCGAGCGUUAAUCGGAAUUACUGGGCGUAAAGGGCACGCAGGCGGUUAAUUAAGUUGGAUGUGAAAUCCCCGGGCUUAACCUGGGAAUGGCAUUCAAGACUGGUUAGCUAGAGUCUUGUAGAGGGGGUAGAAUUCCAUGUGUAGCGGUGAAAUGCGUAGAGAUGUGGAGGAAUACCGGUGGCGAAGGCGGCCCCUGGACAAAGGACUGACGCUCAUGUGCGAAAGCGUGGGGAGCAAACG
rnacentral:rRNA from 1 species